UACGGAGGGUGCAAGCGUUAUCCGGAUUCACUGGGUUUAAAGGGUGCGUAGGUGGAUUGGUAAGUCAGUGGUGAAAUCUCCGGGCUUAACCCGGAAACUGCCAUUGAUACUAUCAGUCUUGAAUACCGUGGAGGUCAGUAGAAUAUGUCAUGUAGCGGUGAAAUGCUUAGAGAUGACAUAGAACACCUAUUGCGAAGGCAGCUUACUACGCCUAUAUUGACGCUGAGGCACGAAAGCGUGGGGAUCAAACAGG
rnacentral:rRNA from 1 species